GCAGUGUAGCACUCGCGCCCUUGGGGGCUAGCGUUUGGCCGGAGCUACACACUCUUUACUCACGCACGCACACCGCCGUACACAGCACAAUCGUUCACCGUCCCGCCAAAGGCUCGUCUCUCGGGUUCUGCCUAGUGGAAGGAGUCGGACAACGCCGCACGUCACGGGCGUUUCGGAUUUCUUGCUUCCCAAAGGUUUGACGGCGGCCACCGGCGCCCCGGCCCAGCUCUGCUUUCCUUUGCUGACUCCUUCCUUUAGGUGUGAAUUUUAAAAUGCUGAUACCGCCCCAAGAGAGCUGAGUCAAGUGAGGCAAACGUUCGCCUGUUGUUCUCCUGACAGACUCCCUGCAGUGGGCAGGGGAAAUGUGGCCUUGGCCGACAUUAAUGAAGUGCCAGGAUGGAGGGAGGGGGCCUGCUGAUUUGUUCUGUUUUACUUUUUAAGGGUAACUAGAGCGUUACUGGAGUCGUCUGUGGGUUUGGGGAGUAUGUGGCGCGUGUGUGUGUCACACAUUUCACUGGCAACUCCCGCCAACCCCUUCCCAAGAAAUGAAGGCUCUAAUGUGGGCAGUUCUGCAACAAAGGUGAAACUUCCCCAAAUCACGAUUCCCCGCAAGAUGAGAGAGCAGGUGCAGCAUCCAUUUUCCCACUAUCACGCUUGAGAUGGUGGCUUUGGGCACUGCCGGGUGCCCCGACAUCCUUCCCAGAGCCCAGCCUUCCCACCCAGGCCCGGCCCUGCGCGGCCGCCUGCCUUUGCAUCAGAGACCGCGGCUGUGCCAUUGCCAAGGUGGGCAGCGCCGCCUCGCUUCCCCAUUCCUCCGUCUCCCACGCCUCUUGCGUGUUUGAGUCGCGAAGUGAUGGACUUUAAAUCUCAGAGGAGGAAUGAGAAACUUGGUUAGUGGCUCUCUUGGCAUGUUCGUAGCCCUGUGGUUGAAGUGGCUGAAACCUGCGUUGAGCCUCAGUCCAAGCAGCUGGGGCCACACCAGUUUGCAAAAGCGGAUGUGGCAGUUUCCACCGCAGCAGCAGCCUGCUGGCGCCUCAUCAGAUUCUCCUUUGGAGGAAGUAUCUUCUUCCCUUCAUUCUCGGUGAAUGGCAUCCAGAGAUAACCAAAAUCAGGUGUAUCUAGUUUCAAGUUCUGUCUUGCAACCGUGAUAAUUGGAGGAUGCAAACUUUACACUUUCUUCUCUAGCUGUCUACCACCACUGCUGCGCUUGUGGAUGACUGCAGGAACACCGGGUACUUGCCACAAGUAUCUCUCCAGAUUCAUCAGCCUUUCACCUGUGACAAGCUCAGUCAAGAAGUGGCUCCUAAGUAAAAGCUGGGGAAGAACAAGGAAGAUAGAGCUCAGAGUAGAAAGCUGUGAAGUUCUGCACAACAGGUCCCCUUGGCCUGCUCUAACAGUUGGAAGUAAAUCUUGCUGCUGCUCACUCUCUGGGUCUGCACUACCUUUAUGAGCUGUAACACUGUGAAGGUCUGCAGCUUCACUCCUGAAGCCAGCGAGACCAUGAACCCACCGGGAGGAACAAACAACUCCUGACGCGCCACCUUUAAGAGCCCUAACACUCACUGCAAAGGUCUGCAGCUUCGCUCCUGAAGUCAGAAAGACCACGAACCCACCGGGAGGAACAAACAACUCUGGACGCACCACCUUUAAGAGCUGUAACACUCACUGCGAAGGUCUGCGGCUUCACUCCUGAAGUCAAGCAAGACCACAAACCCACCGGAAGGAAAAAACUCCAGACACAUCUGAACAUCUGAAGGAACAAACUCCAGACAUACCAUCUGUAAGAACUGUAACACUUACCGCGAGGGUCCGCGGCUUCAUUCUUGAAGUCAGCCAGACCAAGAACCCACCGGGAGGAACCAAUUCCGGACACAGUAUGGUUGGUCCACAAGAGAGGUAUGACUGAGAAGACAGAAAGAGAAGUGGGAAUGGUUGGUCGGUGGAGCAGUCAGAACACACACAGUAUUUAUCAAUUAAGUUUGCCGUCUUAUGUGGGCAUGGUUUGUGGAGCCCUCCAAAGAGUUACAAUAGUAGCACCAAAGAUUGCUGACCACAAAUCAUCCUAACAGAUAUACAAACUGGGAACGAGUUUGAAAUAUUGCGAGAAUACCAAAACGUGACACAGAGACACAAAGUGAGUAUGUGCUGUUGGGAAAAUGGCAUGGAUAGACUUGCUCCAACCUUCCAUUUGUAAAAAAUAUAGUAUCUGCGAAGUGCAAUAAAGUGAAGCUCAAUAAAACGAGUGUGCCUGUAAACUUUCCACUCUUCUCUCCCUAAGGCAGUUCCCGUUUCUCUCCCUUCCUCUUCUCCUUUUCUAAUUCCUUAUUGUCCACUGCCCCCAGUUCUCCUUCCUACUCCUGUGAACCCACUGGCUUAGAGGGAGAAUCCACUAUCUAGGAAAUGCAAAAUGCUUUUAGGAGCGUUUAGAGCCUUCCCCUGCGGAAGAAUAUUUGAAUGUAGAGCAGGAUUUAGGUAGACGUUUGACCUUCAGUGUUUCUUCCCUCACCGAGAUUUUAUGUUUCUGUCUUAAGGUACUGCUUCUAAGGCUCAAACAGCUUAUUUGCUACAAUUCCUUGUUCUCAUGAUUUUUGAGGGGGUUCUAU
rnacentral:lncRNA from 10 species